rnacentral:rRNA from 1 species
GUGAACAUGCGGAAGGAUCAUUG